ACGGGGGGGGCAAGCGUUGUUCGGAAUUACUGGGCGUAAAGGGCCAGUAGGCGGCCAACUAAGUCCGACGUGAAAUCCCCAGGCUUAACCUGGGAACUGCGUCGGAUACUGGAUGGCUUGAGUUCGGGAGAGGGAUGCGGAAUUCCAGGUGUAGCGGUGAAAUGCGUAGAUAUCUGGAGGAACACCGGCGGCGAAGGCGGCAUCCUGGACCGACACUGACGCUGAGGAGCGAAAGCCAGGGGAGCAAACGGGA
rnacentral:rRNA from 1 species